rnacentral:tRNA from 1 species
GCUGUCCGCGGACGGCGGUUACGGCACCGGCGUUCCCGCCGCCGCCCGGCGGGCCGCCCUCGCGAUCGCCGACCGCACCGGCGGGGUGGCCC